GACGAACGCUGGCGGCGUGCCUAAUACAUGCAAGUCGAGCGCAGGAAAUCGACGGAACCCUUCGGGGGGAAGUCGACGGAAUGAGCGGCGGACGGGUGAGUAACACGUAAAGAACCUGCCCUCAGGUCUGGGAUAACCACGAGAAAUCGGGGCUAAUACCGGAUGGGUCAUCGGACCGCAUGGUCCGAGGAUGAAAGGCGCUUCGGCGUCGCCUGGGGAUGGCUUUGCGGUGCAUUAGCUAGUUGGUGGGGUAAUGGCCCACCAAGGCGACGAUGCAUAGCCGACCUGAGAGGGUGGUCGGCCACACUGGGACUGAGACACGGCCCAGACUCCUACGGGAGGUAGCAGUAGGGAAUCUUCCACAAUGGACGAAAGUCUGAUGGAGCAACGCCGCGUGAACGAUGAAGGCCUUCGGGUCGUAAAGUUCUGUUGUAAGGGAAGAACAAGUGCCGCAGGCAAUGGCGGCACCUUGACGGUACCUUGCGAGAAAGCCACGGCUAACUACGUGCCAGCCGCCGCAGUAA
rnacentral:rRNA from 1 species